CCUACGGGUGGCUGCAGUGGGGAAUCUUGCGCAAUGGGCGAAAGCCUGACGCAGCGACGCCGCGUGAGUGAUGAAGGCCUUCGGGUUGUAAAGCUCUGUGGGGAGAGACGAAUAAGUCGGCGCGAAUAGCUCCGAUGAUGACGGUAUCUCCUUAGCAAGCACCGGCUAACUCUGUGCCAGCAGCCGCGGUAAGACAGAGGGUGCAAACGUUGUUCGGAAUUACUGGGCGUAAAGCGUGUGUAGGCGGCUGCGCAAGUCGGAUGUGAAAGCCCCGG
rnacentral:rRNA from 1 species